AGACCAAUUUGUCACCCAAUAUGUGGGUGUCUAAUACUAAGUAAUUUAACCAACUUUUGAAGCCCCGCUUAUCCACAAAAAUGUUUUUCAGCAAAACUUUGUUUCCUGUUAAGCUAUUAAUACGGGUCAUCUUUUAGCUUUGUAAUUGAAAAAAAAAAAGUUUAGAUAGUAGUUUACCUUAAAAGCCCAUUCGAACUGACAUAGGAAGAUGAAAGAGACUGACUUGUCCAAAUUGUCAGGUCCACCUCUGCAUCACAGUGGAUGUCAGGAUGUAAAUUUUCAGUUUUUCUCUUACAUCUAGAAAGUAAAUAUAUUGCUGAGAGGGAAAUUGUUUGCAUCAAACCAGAUAAGGAAGGAGGGCUAGGCAAAUUUAGUUCUCAUUUAGCAAAACUUCCUGAUUUGUUUUGUUACUUAAAUGGUGACAUCAGUGUUUGGUCAUGGUAGACACUUAGGUGAUGAUAGCCAAAACAUCCAUCGAUUUUACUAAAAUCACUGCCAUUAAGAGAGUUUUUUGUCUCUUCAUGUUCAAUGUUUGAAAGGUAUUCAGUAAUCUAUUUCAGAAGCAAAUCAAUUAGGGAAUGGUGUUUAUUAAAAUACGGUACAGUUGCCAGGACUUUAAAAGAUGGUACUGGUUUCUAACAACUUACGAGUAUAUAGGGUAUUUAAAAGAUGGGAGAGAUUGAAGAAAGACAAAGGUUUAAAGGUCAUAGCCUUCGAGCAUAAGAGGCAUAUGAAUGGUGUCUUGGCCUUAACUCCCAAUUAUACGAACUUCUGUUUUAGCUGAAUAGGCCAGUGCCUCGUGCCUUGAUAUUUCGGCAAAUCUAUUAGUGGUUCCUUAAGCAUAGGGAACUUUGUACUUUAUGCUCUGUCGCCAUAAUAAUGUAUUUAUAGAAUUAAACAUUCUCAAAUUAGGGUCUUGUUAAACUGACUUUUUCUUUCAGAAAGUAGCUACUUAAAUUCUGUUACAGCUACAAAAGAUCCAUCAAGUGCUGACUGCUUAAACUGAAGAAGGUGUCCAGGGCCUUAAUUCUGCAAACAUUUCCUGUUGUUAGAAAGUAUGAUGCUUGAACAGCGAUCUCAGUGUAUUUUAUGUUUUAAAGGGGGUAACGUUUGGUGUGUUUAAGAGAGCUGAUGUGUUUUGGAUGAGACUAAAGUUGAUCCUUGGUUUUACAUUAAGAUGAACCUGGGUCCAUGUGUCUGCUUAAAGAAUGUAAAUUGGCAUACUUGAUAGGAGGAUAAAGCUUUGUAGGAAUUAGAAAAGAUCAUUCUCUUUUUUGUUGCAGAAGCAGUAUAGUAUAGUAGUUAGAGCAUGGGCCCUGGAGCCAGGCUGCUUGGUGUCUUCCUUUAUUUAUUUAUUUAUUUAAUUAUAAAAAGUAAAUAUAAAGUGAGCUAUGUUGACCAGGUUCGUCUUGAACUCCUGGCCUCAAGCAAUCCUCCUGCCUCAGCCUCCCAAAGUGCUGGGAUUACAGGCAUGAGCCACCACAACCUGGCCUGCUUGGGUUUUUCUAUCUUGGCUCUGCCACCUAGCUGUGGGUCCUUGGACAAGUUACUUCAUCUCUCUGUGCCUCAGGUUUUUCAAAUGUAAAAUUGGGAUAAUUGGAUCUGUCUCAUAGGGUUGUGAAAAUUAAUGAGUUAAUGCUCUUAGAAGAGUACCUCAUAUGUAAUAAGCACGCAACUGUUAAUUAUUGUUAAUGUAGAAGUUAAUUCUGUGUAUAAAUCAGAUACACUGUGGUCAAAGAUUUGUGUGUAUUUGUAAGAAAAGAGGAGAAUGGAGAAUCUAUUUUUAAGUGG
rnacentral:lncRNA from 1 species